rnacentral:tRNA from 1 species
CGCCGAACUGGGCAAGCUGUUCGAGGCCGGGGCGCUGGCGCCGCUCCCGGUGCGCUCGUGGGACGUGCGCCGUGCGUGCGACGCGUUCCGGUAC